rnacentral:rRNA from 1 species
GGGGAAUAUUGCCCAAUGGACGCAAGUCUGAGGCAGCAACGCCGCGUGGGCGAUGAAGGCCUUCGGGUUGUAAAGCCCUUUUCUGGGGGAAGAGGAAGGACGGUACCUCAGGAAUAAGUCACGGCUAACUACGUGCCAGCAGCCGCGGUAAUACGUAGGUGGCAAGCGUUAUCCGGAUUCACUGGGCGUAAAGCGCGUGCAGGCGGUUUCGUAAGUCGGACGUGAAAGCUCCUGGCUUAACUGGGAGAGGUCGUUCGAUACUGCGGGGCUUGAGGUCGGGAGAGGGACGUGGAAUUCCCGGUGUAGUGGUGGAAUGCGUAGAUAUCGGGAGGAACACCAGUGGCGAAGGCGACGUCCUGGCCCGCACCUGACGCUGAGACGCGAAAGCGUGGGUAGCAAACGG